ensembl:lncRNA
AUUGGCGUGGAUGCCGCUAAGUGCUGCGCUCAUUCUUGCGAUCUGUCUCUAUCCCAUUCUGGAGCAGUGACCAAGCCCUCAGGGGCCUCCUGCUGCAGACAACCCUUUCAGGGAGGCUGUUUAGAGCCCCACAGAAACCGUGCCACCAGCCACGGAGCAGUGCUGCCUGAAGCAGAGAGCAGAGAGCCUGAGUCAGAGAGCAGAAGGCAAAGUUGCCCGCUUCCCCAACUUGUGAGCUGUGUGAAUUUGGGUCGAGCACUUAACCGUCCUUAGGACAGACGACUCAGGCAAACCAGCCAGCAGCACCAGCAGCAGCACAAAACAACCUUUCAGACCCACACGAGAGGACAAGAUUGUAAUGCCUCCGUGACAGCAUUGCUUUAUUGAUGCAAGGGCUGUCUCAGGAGCUGAAAUGGGCCAGUUACAAACAGAAUUGGUUCUGCUGUCAUAGAAAACCACAAAAGCAUAUGUGUUUUCAGACACAAAAGCUACCACACUUUCUUUGGAAAACAAGGCACAGGUGAAAAAAAAAAAAAUCUCACUUCUAAACAGAAUGGAAAGCAUGGCUAACUUGAGAUUUAUUUAAUUACAGUGUCUUUCUCCGGGCUAAUCAGUUUUAAAACCCAUUCAUAUUGGUGCCGAUGAGCCAAUAAAAGAUCCAGAAGAAAAGAAGUAUUAUAUCAAUGCAGAGAAACAAGGUUGUUUUUUUUAAAGCAUUGAAUUAAUGUUUACACCACUGAGUCAGAUUAUUUAUACAUAGGCUACAGGUUUUGCAUCUCCAGAAUUUGUUGGCACUUAGAAUAUGAUAAAUUGUACCUGACUGACUUGUGAAAAAUCAUCUCGAGAAAGAUUUUUCCCCCUGGGAAAAUAUGGAAAUGACACAUGGUGUGUACAGCCAGAAACAGCGAAAGGAAAGGAGGGUUUUGAGCUGUCACAGUGGAUGGUUAAGAAUUUCAGCUUUGGGGCAGAAGUUUUGCUCAAGUCACAUUACCUCAAAACCUGAUCGUCUUCAUCUCUAGAUUAGGUUCCAAGUUCAGGUAUUUCUGUAUAUAUUCAAUGGGAUAGGGACUUUCCUGGUGGUCUAGUCAUUAAGAAUCCACCUGCCAAUCAGGGGCAUGGGUUCGGUCCCCGGUCAGGGAACUAAAUCCCACAUGCCACGGGGCAGCAUGCCGCAACUAAAGAAGCCUGAACAUUGGAUAGAAGACCCAGCACAGCCAAAAAAAUUCAGUGGGGUAAUGCAUGCACAAAGUUCAACAUUAACCUCCCAGAGGCCAAAUAAGAAUCCAGUAAAUGCUAAUGUCUCUAUCAUUAUCAAAGGGAAUCUUUGCAUGCUUUAUCUCUCAUCUGGAAAAAAUUCACAAAAAAGGAUUAAAUUUGUUGGGGGAAAAAAGGUGAAUCUUGGGUCCCCCUUAGCACAUGUGCACUCCAUCCUUUCUAAAAAGUGAAGUUUGUAAGUUUACAGGUUUUAGGGAGAAAGGGAAGCAACCAGAAUGCUCCUACAUUACUGGUGGGGAUGUCAAAGGUCACAGACCUUUUGGAAACUCUUUUGUGGCUCCUCAACAGUUAAACAUAGAUACAGCCCAGAAGUCCCACUCCUAGGUGUAUACUCAGAAGUGAAAACAUGCGUUCAUAUAAAAACUUGUUCAUAAAUGUUCAUUUCAGGAUUGCUGAAGUGAAAUGUUAGUUGCUCAGUCACAUCUGACUCUUUGCGACCCCGUGGACUGUGGCCUCUGGGCUCCUCUAUCCAUGGGAUUCUCCAGGCAAGAAUACUGGAGUGGGUAGCCAUGCCCUUUUCCCGGGGUUUCUCCCAAUCCAGGGAUCGAACCCGAGUCUCCUUCACUGCAGGUGAAUUCUUUAUAGCUGAGCCAUCUGGGAGGCCCUAGAAAGACACAGCUCAAUUGUCUAUUGACAUGAUAGACAGAUAAAAUAGAUUUAAUAAAAAUGUUGAACAGCCAUACCAUGGAAUUUUAUUUGGCAACAAUAAGGUGUGGACAUAAGCUACAAGUGGAUCAAACUUGAAAACAUGAUUCUAGUUGUGAAGAAACCAGUCACAAAAGGCUACGUACUGCAUGACUUCAUUCAUAUGAAACAUCCAGAAUAAACAACUCCAUAGAGACAGAAAGGAAUUAGUGAUUGCCUGGGGCUGGGAGGGAAGGCAGGUAUGGGGAGUGAUUGCUAAUGGAUAUAAGGUAUUUUUGUUUGGUUUCGUUUAUCUUCAUAUUUACUAAUAUUUGUUUGGCUGUGCCAGGUCUUAGUUGUGGCAUCCCGGAACUUCAGUCUUCAUUUGUGGCAUGUGGGAUCUAGUUCCCUGGUUCUUCAGGGAUCAAACCCAGGUCCCUUGCAUUGGGAGCACAGUCUCAGCCACUGGACCGCCAGGAAAGUCCCCAGGGUUCCUUUUUGCAAUGAUAAAAAUUUUCUGGAAUUAGAUAGUUAUGAUGGUUGUACAGCUUUGUGAAUAGUCUCUAAAACACUGAACUGUACCUUCUAAAAUGGUGAAUUUUGUGGUUUACCAAUUGUAUCUGGAAAAAAAUCAGUGAAUGGUUAAUGUGGAAAAAAAGAAGAUAGAGAAGCCAAUAUUGUCAUUGUAGCAUCCAGAGAUAAUCACUGCAAAUGCUUUGAUGUAGAUCCUUCCAGACUGAUGUAAAUAUAUAUAUAUCAAAAAAUAAUAAUAAAAUGGUGUCAUACUGUA